rnacentral:rRNA from 1 species
AUUGAACGCUGGCGGCAUGCCUUACACAUGCAAGUCGAACGGCAGCGCGGGGCAACCUGGCGGCGAGUGGCGAACGGGUGAGUAACAUAUCGGAACAUACCCUAGAGUGGGGAUAACGUAGCGAAAGUUACGCUAAUACCGCAUACGCACUAAGGUGGAAAGUGGGGGAUUCGCAAGAACCUCAUGCUCAUGGAGUGGCCGAUAUCUGAUUAGCUAGUUGGUGAGGUAAAGGCUCACCAAGGCGACGAUCAGUAGCUGGUUUGAGAGAACGACCAGCCACACUGGAACUGAGACACGGUCCAGACUCCUACGGGAGGCAGCAGUGGGGAAUUUUGGACAAUGGGGGCAACCUGAUCCAGCAAUGCCGCGUGAGUGAAGAAGGCC